AAAGCGGAGGAAAAGAAACCAACAGGGAUUGCCCUAGUAACGGCGAGUGAACAGGCAAGAGCUCAGAUUUGAAAGGCACUUUUGUGCCGUUGUAUUCUGAAGUUAGGGUCCUGAGAAACGAUGCUUAAGUCUUCUGGAAAGGAGCGCCAUGGAGGGUGAUAGCCCCGUCUAGCAUUGACCUCAUAUAGGAUCUUAACAUGGAGUCGAGUUGUUUGGGAAUGCAGCUCAAAUGGGUGGUAUGCUCCAUCUAAAGCUAAAUAUCUGCGAGAGACCGAUAGUAAACAAGUACUGUGAGGGAAAGAUGAAAAGAACUUUGAAAAGAGAGUGAAAAAGUACGUGAAAUUGUUGAAAUGGAAGGGUAGGCCGCUAACCAUGUAGAGCCGUGUUUGGGGGGAAGAUAAAUGCUGUAGAAUGUAGCUCCUCGGAGUAUUAUAGAUGCAGUUCAUAUUCCCACCCGAGCGCGAGGAUCUCAGGUUCUACUAAAUGGUGGUCUACCACCCGUCUUGAACCACGGACCAA
rnacentral:rRNA from 1 species